UACGAAGGGGGCUAGCGUUGUUCGGAAUCACUGGGCGUAAAGCGCACGUAGGCGGACUUUUAAGUCAGAGGUGAAAGCCUGGAGCUCAACUCCAGAACUGCCUUUGAUACUGGAAGUCUAGAGUAUGGAAGAGGUUGGUGGAACUCCGAGUGUAGAGGUGAAAUUCGUAGAUAUUCGGAAGAACACCAGUGGCGAAGGCGGCCAACUGGUCCAUUACUGACGCUGAGGUGCGAAAGCGUGGGGAGCAAACAGG
rnacentral:rRNA from 1 species